CACUGAGACACAGCUGCAGCACCUGGAGAAUCAGACUGCAGUUCUGGAGGCCAGACUGGGUGUCAGUGAGAAACAGCUGGAAGAUCUGAAGACAGAAAACACAGUUCAGUCUGUUAGGCUUUCCUUGAUGGAUUCCAGACUGACAGACAGCCAUAACAAUACUACAGAGUUAGCGGUCAGAAUGAGUGUCAGUGAGAAACAGC